ensembl:lncRNA
GGAAAAUGUGAGAUUUAAUGCAUGAACAUGUACACACACAUUUUAAACAUGUUGAUGCACCUAUGUGAACAACCGUCUUACACACAAACAUAUAGUACACACUGAGAUAAUGGGCAGUCUUUCCCCGGGUCCGGACCUCCCGGAGAGGGGACAAUGUACUCAAGGUGAUCAUGCACUUUCCUAAGGGGACCUGUUCUCCAGGCCAGACUAGCACACUACAGGUUUUAACUGGGGAUGGAUGACCAUAUCACUAACAGCUGAUUCACUACAUGAGGUGUCUUAAGAGCAAUAGAUGUCAUUGAACUUGAUUCAAACACUGAAAGCAGUCUUCUUAAGAGUCCACAAUACUUAAAACAUGUCCAAAUGUAAUCUACAGAUAUUAUAAAUAUGUAAUCUAACUGCAAAUUCUUAUUUGUUUGUGUAGUGGACCCUGUGAAUGUGUGUUUAGAUGCAGGUUUGUGGAUGUGUUGAUAUCAACCUGAGCUGUAUGUGUGUGUCUGAGUGAGUGUGUGUGUGUUUAGAUGCAGGUUUGUGGAUAUGUUGAUAUCAACCUGGGCCUGUAUGUGUGUCUGAGUGAGUGUGUGUUUAGAUGCAGGUUUGUGGAUAUGUUGAUAUCAACCUGAGCCUGUAUGUGUGUGUCUGAGUGAGUGUGUGUUUAGAUGCAGGUUUGUGAAUGUGUUGAUAUCAACCUGGGCCUGUAUGUGUGUGUCUGAGUGGGUGUGUGGUGGUUGCUGUGUCAGUGAAUGAUAUUCCAAUCACACUUCAAUAUAGAGAACCAACUCAUUAAUCUCUCUAUGCAUCCCUCUACAAUGCAUUCCAAUGAGGCCACACAUUUCUCCAUGCAUGGACUGAGUGAGGCAAACUAAUUUCAAACUUCUCUCCUCUCUCCCUGCCACUCUCAGCCAAUCGUAAUCAAGACAGGUAUUUUUUUGAAUAAGGGUCGUGGCAAUGAUGCACUUGAUUGACUCCUGGUAAUAGAGGUUAUCAUUUUAAAGGAGUC